AUAAAAUUGUUCUUUUAAACUUGUGCAUUGUUUGACUUCUAAAAUUUUUGUAUCAGGUAUAAAAUGACUUUUUAAAUAAAGUUGUUUUAAUGUGAGCAGCUCCUAUUGGCUCGUUUAAAAAGAGGGAGGAGCAGAUUGCACCGCCUAGCGUCUAGUCUUCGCGGUCUUUCGUCAGUUGCGCCUUUUCUCUCCCUGGUGUUUGAGAACGUGGAGGACAAAAGGAUACCAAAGAAUCGAAAACUAUGACAAAGAUUCUUCAAGAUCACAAGCACCAUCUUUAACAUGUUGCCAUGGUAGCAGAUACAGGGGGA